rnacentral:misc_RNA from 1 species
GAUGAAGAACGUAGCGAAAUGCGAUAAGUAAUGCGAAUUGCAGAAUUCCAGUGAGUCAUCGAAUCUUUGAACGCACAUUGCGCCCUUUGGUAUUCCGAAGGGCAUGCCUGUUCGAGCGUCAUUAUCACCCCUCAAGCCCUCGGCUUGGUGUUGGACGGUUUGGUGGAGGCCCCCUCGGGGGUUCCUGCCCCUCCCAAAGACAAUGACGGCGGCCUCGUUGGACCCCCGGUACACUGAGUUCUUCACAGGACACGUAUCGGACACAUGGGUUUACGGGACACGGUCUGCCUCCCCUCAGGGAGAAUCUUUCUAAGGUUGACCUCGGAUCAGGUAGGGAUACCCGCUGAACUUAAGCAUAUCAAUAAGCGGAGGA